UGCGGAAGGAUCAUUAACACUUAUCCAAACCUACUCAACCAAGCCAUACUGUUGCAGAGCGCAAGCUUUGCAGCUUAAACCUAACCAAAAGAAGCUUAACUAAGCCAACCUAAAACUAAAUCCUCAACGAUGGAUGUCUAGGUUCCUACUACGAUGAAGAACGCAGCGAAGUGCGAUAAGCAAUGCGAAUUGCAGAACCGGGAGUCAUCAGAUUUUUGAACGCAACUGGCUCCUGGGGGUCCUCCCCCAGGAAUGCUUCUUUCAGUGUGUUCUUAUCUCCUCACCCAAACCUUAAUGCGAUAGAUGCCCUUCUAUUGCUAAGCUCGAAAGCACUCUGAGCUCUGCAGCGACUGUCUCCGGAUGGUUGCACUCAAUGCAGCAGUCACAUUUUCUAAUGUGAACUCAUUGGGAGUAGAGUCAGCGCAUGUCUCAUGCCAGUGCUUAGACACUCAAAUUUCACAGCAUCUGAGAUGAAGUAGGACCACCCGCUGAACUUAA
rnacentral:rRNA from 1 species